rnacentral:rRNA from 1 species
AUUGAACGCUGGCGGCAUGCCUUACACAUGCAAGUCGAACGGCAGCACGGGAGCAAUCCUGGUGGCGAGUGGCGAACGGGUGAGUAAAGUAUCGGAACGUGCCCAGUCGUGGGGGAUAACGUAGCGACAGUUACGCUAAUACCGCAUCCGAUCUAUGGAUGAAAGCGGGGGAUCGCAAGACCUCGCGCGAUUGGAGCGGCCGAUAUCAGAUUAGGUAGUUGGUGGGGUAAAGGCCCACCAAGCCGACGAUCUGUAGCUGGUCUGAGAGGACGACCAGCCACACUGGGACUGAGAAACGGCCCAGACUCCUACGGGAGGCAGCAGUGGGGAAUUUUGGACAAUGGGCGAAAGCCUGAUCCAGCCAUGCCGCGUGCAGGAUGAAGGCCUUCGGGUUGUAAACUGCUUUUGUACGGAACGAAAAGGACUGCCCUAAUACGGUGGUCCCAUGACGGUACCGUAAGAAUAAGCACCGGCUAACUACGUGCCAGCCGCCGCGGUAA